rnacentral:rRNA from 1 species
CCCUUAGAUGUUCUGGGCCGCACGCGCGCUACACUGAUGCAUUCAACGAGUUUCUUCCUGGUCCGAGAGGAAUGGGUAACCUUUUGAAAGUGCAUCGUGAUAGGGAUAGACUAUUGCAAUUAUUGGUCUUCAACGAGGAAUUCCUAGUGGACGUAGUUCAUCAGACUGCAUCGAUUACGUCCCUGCCCUUUGUACACACCGCCCGUCGCUACUACCGAUUGAAUGGUUUAGUGAGGACUCCUGAUUGGCGCCGCCGCCCCGGCAACGGAGCAGCGGACUGCCGAAAAGUUGUUCAAACUUGAUCAUUUAGAGGAAGUAAAAGUCGUAACA